rnacentral:rRNA from 1 species
UACAUGGGGUGCCCCCUUUUCUCUUAAUUAUUGGGAGUAAAGCGCACGUAGGCGGUUUGUUAAGUCGGAUGUGGAAUCCCUCGGCUCAACUGAGGAAGUGCAUCCGAAACUGGCAGGCUUGAGUACUAAAGAGGGCCGCGGAAUUCCCGGUGUAGAGGUGAAAUUCGUAGAUAUUGGGAGGAACACCGGUGGCGAAGGCGGCGACCUGGGUAGAUACUGACGCUGAGGUGCGAAAGCGUGGGGAGCAAACAGG